rnacentral:rRNA from 1 species
UACGUAGGGGGCAAGCGUUGUCCGGAAUCAUUGGGCGUAAAGGGCGCGUAGGUGGCCACUUCAAGCGUGCGGUGAAAGUCGGGGGCUCAACCCCUGAUCGGCCGUGCGAACUGGGGGGCUGGAGCACUGUAGAGGCAGGCGGAAUUCCGGGUGUAGCGGUAGAAUGCGUAGAGAUCCGGAAGAACACCGGUGGCGAAGGCGGCCUGCUGGGCAGUUUUGCUGACACUGAGGCGCGACAGCGUGGGGAGCAAACAGG